rnacentral:rRNA from 1 species
UACGUAGGAGACGAGCGUUGUCCGGAGUUACUGGGCGUAAAGGGUGCGCAGGUGGCGGCGCGCGUGGGGGGUGAAAUCGCCCGGCUUAACUGGGCGGGGGCCUUCCAGACGGCGUGGCUUGAGCAGCGGAGGGGGACGUGGAAUUCCGGGUGGAGCGGUGAAAUGCGUAGAGAUCCGGAGGAACACCGACGGCGCAGGCAGCGUCCUGGGCCGCUUGCUGACACUGAGGCACGAAAGCCUGGGGGGAGCAAACAGG